rnacentral:lncRNA from 10 species
CGUUCAGCACUUCCCAUGUGGCACAUGCACAUCUUCCUUCCUUCUCCACUUCCCCUCACAGAUGCUUGCGUGGGCCUGCUACCCACCACACAUCACAAGAGGUGCUGGUGAUGGGGAGAUGAGUAACUGGCCUGCUUCUUGUUCUCCUGUAGCUCACAUUUCCAUGUUAGGACAGACAAUAAUUAACAAAGGAUGUGAAGAAUGCUACGGGAAUACUGAUUCCAGGAAGCAAUUAAUUUGGCCAGGGUGUAGGAGGGUGGAAGAGUGAAUAGUGGGAACUAUUCACUAUUAACUAUGAGUGAAUAGUCCUAAGGAAGGCUUGGGACUCAUCACUCCUUUGACAAUUAUAAUACAAGCUGAAUAUCUCUAGUCCAAAAACCCAAAACUACUUUCUGAGCAACGACAUGAUGCACAAAGGAAAGGCUCAUUAGAGCAUUUUGGACUUUUGGAUUAGGGACGCUGAACCACUGGGUAUAAUGAGAAUAUUUCAAAAUCCCAAACAAUCUGAAAUCUGAAACACUUCUGGUCCCAAGCAUUUCAGAUAAGGGAUAGUCAACCUCUAAUACUAAAGGUUCCAUUCUUUACAUUUCUACUAUAGACGCUUUUCAGAAAUGCUCAUCUGGCCUUGCUGGGGCUUAAAACCUUCCAAGGGCUUGCCCUGGCCUCAACUUCCAAUUCCCUGGAAUGGCUACAAAACCCUUCAGAACUGGAUUCCAGAAGAUUAUUUCAUACCAUCACUUCAAAUUCCUCAGCCACUACACAGCCAUUCCACCUCCUGUUAACAGCCCCAUGAUUUUGCUAUAGAAGAACUGCUCUUGUCCCACUGUGUGCUACAGCCUGAUGUGCUCCUCUCCCCUACCUCUGGGCUAACCAUACAACCAAAGCCAAACCAAUCAGAAACUUUGUCCUCGGAAUAUGAAUCCUGAGAAGAAUGACAAAGGCAAUAAAUAAAUGAAGCUGACUUAUCUCAACGGAGGCCUGAAAAUGCAACCUUGCUAGUGCCUGCUACAUAGAUUCCUGGAGUUAGCUUGGUUUUUGUCCUUCUUCCUGGCCCAGUUUUUUAGCUUUUCUUUUAAGUCCAAGAGCAACCCUGUAUCUUUACAAUAAACUACUUUUUCCAUUCAAGCCAGACAGUUUCUGUUCUUGUUAUUAAAG